GGAUACCUAAUAAACAAUGGCGGCAAUUUGAAAUAAAUUUAGAAUGCAUGACUCUUCGUUAUCCUAAGCAAUAUAGCACGCCUAAUAAUUACAGUUGAAGAAGACAAGACAUUCUUAUCAAUGGGGUUCUGGAGAAGACGAUUCCAAUAAAUACGGGCGUACCUGUUGAUCUCAAUAGAUAAAACAUACGGUUCUCUUUCUUCUCUUAUUCUCAGCCUAUAAAGAUUUAAAUCCUCAUAAUUUCAUUGUUAAUAUGCCCUCUUAAUCUCUUGUUCUCGUGAAAAUCCGAUAACCUUUUCAUAUAGUCCAUUAAUCCCCAACUCCUCAUCAAUUCUUGCUUCAGUUGACUACUUAUCUUUGUAUUUUUAAAGAGCUGCCUAUUGUGCACAACAUUCAAAGAUAGCUAACUCAAACUCAAGAAAGAUUAAAUGAAUUAGCAAUUUUGAGUAUCGAAAGUCAAUUUCUACGGAUUCUUGGUUAUCAUAAUUAAGAGAUGGUUUUUUUUCAAAAAAUACAUGGAGACAUAAUUUUAGAUGAAUUUAUGUAUGUUAUUGUUUUAUAAACUUGAGUUAAUUUGACUAUAAAAUUUAAUUUACUUUUCCUAUAUACAUUUUUUUUAUAUAAAAUCAACAGCCUGUUGCCGGAGAAAAAUCACGUUCGCCAGAGAAGGCAAAAAACACCAUUACAUAACACAUAUUAAAAUCAGUUGCAGGAAUGUGAGGUUCGUGUGUUUAUUUGAAGUGGAUUUCACAGGUUUUGUUAAUAACAUGAGAGUUUAAACUCUAAACCAGGCGGCAAAUGAAACAUACACAAUGAUUCACUUACCUUUUACUUGGCUGAACAUUGCACCACCAAAGAAGCAGCACCGUGUUUAAUCAGAACAUGUUGUUGAUUAGUGAAGAAGGGAUUAGCGGUACAAAUACAAUCAAGGGCCUGAACUACGACCUCUCAAUCUGAUUUGAUUUUCUGAUCUCUACUAAAUGAAGGGUAUAAUAGACAAUUAUCUUUAAAAAUAUAUGGAUGCAUAAAAAACAACCGUGGAAAUAUCAGCUCCCAUUUACAUUUAAUUCA